rnacentral:tRNA from 1 species
ACUUGGCUGGCUCAGUUGGUAGAGCAUGUGACUCUUGAUCCCACACUUGUGAGUUUGAACCCCGUGUUGGGUA